AUGGAAACAGUGGCCCUCCUUAGAAGCGCUUCUGGACGCAAGAUGAUAAUCUCUAUCUCUAUCUCUACUCUCUAUCUCUCUAUCUCUAUCUCUAUCUCUAUCUCUAUCUCUACCUCUACCUCUCUACCUCUACCUACUAAUAAAGCAGCUACUGCUUCUGGUCGUACGUCGUCAGCGUUUUUACAAAAAAGUCCCUAUGAUAUAGAGUAUUCAACACACAUUCCAUCUAAGUGGGGAGAAGAGGGGCAGGGGCAGGGACGGGGAGGGAGAGGGGCAGGCCGGGGAUGGGGAGAAAGAGGGGCGGGGGUGGAGAAGGGUAGGAAGAGGGGCAACGAGGAUGGAGGCGGAGGAGGAUACCGCGGGCCCUGUAGGGCGAGAUGGAGGAGGAGUACCUCGCCGCGGCCAGCACCACCAGCAAGGCCAUGGCCAUGA
rnacentral:rRNA from 1 species